rnacentral:rRNA from 1 species
UACGUAGGGGGCAAGCGUUGUCCGGAUUUAUUGGGCGUAAAGGGCGCGUAGGCGGCCUGCUAAGUCGAACGUGAAGUCCCCGAGCUCAACUCGGGAACUGCGUCCGAUACUGGCAGGCUUGAAUCCGGGAGAGGGAUGCGGAAUUCCAGGUGUAGCGGUGAAAUGCGUAGAUAUCUGGAGGAACACCGGUGGCGAAGGCGGCAUCCUGGACCGGCAUUGACGCUGAGGCGCGAAAGCCAGGGGAGCAAACGGG